rnacentral:rRNA from 1 species
UACGUAGGGGGCGAGCGUUGUCCGGAAUCAUUGGGCGUAAAGAGCGUGUAGGCGGUUCGGUAAGUCUGCCGUGAAAACCUGGGGCUCAACCCCGGGCGUGCGGUGGAAACUGCCUGACUAGAGGAUGGUAGAGGGGAGUGGAAUUCCCGGUGUAGCGGUGAAAUGCGCAGAUAUCGGGAGGAACACCAGUAGCGAAGGCGGCUCCCUGGGCCAUUCCUGACGCUGAGACGCGAAAGCGUGGGGAGCAAACAGG